GGAACCGCUACAGCGGGAAGGUAAACAGCGUUUCUGUGCGCUGCUCUGGUUCGCCAGAAGCGGCUUUGUCAUGCUGGCCACAUGACCUGGAAGCUGUACGCCGGCUCCCUCGACCAAUAAUGCGAGAUGAGCGCGCAACCCCAGAGUCAGUCACGACUGGACCUAAUGGUCAGGGGUCCCUUUACCUUUACCCUUUACUGUAAUUCAAAACUAAUAAAAAUUAUUACUUUUUUAAAAAAAUUGGGGCUAGCCAAGAGGGGGCAAGAGCAAUGGGGGGAGGUUCAAGAAGAGGCUUUUUAGAGGCACAGAACUGGGGGUGGGUGGGAUCCUGUGUUGCAAGGGGGUUGGACUGGAUGACCCUUGGGGUCCCGUCCAACUCUCCAACUCUAUGACCAGUCUUCCAAACUCCGAAAACUUUGCCAGAAGAUUUAAGCACUGUUUCCACUCCUUAUUGGCCUGAAGACAUGUGCUCUAUAUGAUACAAUACAUCACGGAUCUUGACCAAUUUUUAUUAUUGUUUUGGGGUUCAUAGUUGAUAGCUUGAUGACACUAGUGACCCAGUGUGCCGCAGCUGUGGAAAAGGCAAAUUCCAUGCUAGGGAUCUCUCGGAAAAGAAUCGAAAACAAGGCUGCCAGUCUCAUGAUGCUGUUAGAUAAUCUAUGGUGCCGCCACAUUUGGAAUACUGUGUACGGUUCUGGUUAGCUCACCUCAAAAAGGAGAUUGUA